rnacentral:lncRNA from 1 species
UGCCUUGUGAAGAAGGUAGCUGCUUCUGCUUUGCCUUCCGCCAUGACUGUAAGUUUCAUGAAGCCUCCCCAGGCACGCAGAACUGAGACAGUGAAUGGUGAACACAUGAAAGGUGGCUUUUAAAGUUUUCCUUAAAGAGCCUCAGCAAUGUCAUGAAAUUGCUUCAGAAGAGGAUGGCUCUCUUCAGAAAGCAAGAAAAAGGGGAUGGAAUGUGAAUAAAAAGAAGAAAUGAAGGAAUACUGAAGACUAUAUAAAACAAAAGGCCUUUGAAGAAGGGACUGACAUCCUGAAGAGUGCAUAGCUAUUUGCUUAAGAAGGAGGCAUUGCAUUCCAUCUAAAUGUUCAUUUAGACCACAUAGUAAAAUAAAGAUAGUAAAAUAAAGAAUUUACUUCCACUGUGUUUAGUGGAUAUAGACUUUUGCUUUAGCUCAGAAUCUCUCUGUCACACAGAAAAAGCUCAACCUUAAAUUAUAGUUUAGAAGAUCUACCAUGACCAUGGCCCUGAAUUCAAACCCUAGAACUGACUUUCUGAGAGACCAUAUGUAGAAUCCAUUUGUAUUUCUCCCUUUUUAAUUCAUUGUCACCUUUGGAAAAUGGGACUUGUGUUGAUGCAUUAAUUCAAAACCAAGCUCAAGAAAAAUGGGGAAAGUUUCAUAAACAUUUUGCAAAUGGAAAUUGGAAAAUAACUCUGGCCUUAAUUCCACAAAGACCAUAUAGGAAUGUGGAAAUGUUUGAGGUAAUGAGAAAAGAAGUUUGCAUUGUACAUACAAUAUGACUACAGCUCAGAAAAAAAGAAGGAAUAAUUGACACAAUAGAGACAAUGACUAAUUUCUUUCUUUGUGAUAUAAUUCAUACAAUCUUGAAAAGGCAAUAGAGUAAAAAACAAAUUGUUACACAGUAGUGUCUUCCACCUUCAGUUCGUCAAGUUCUCACCCAACCUACAGUUUGAAAAUAUUGAGGUGGCAGCUUUCUUGUACUCACCAUACAUCAGAGGGAACCUCUGCUCUGACACAGGGAAGAUGAGAUGCUGCUUUUUUUUUUUUCCUUUUUCAGUUCCAGCUCAAAGAAGAGAUGAGAUUCUUCAGAGAAGAAACUGGGGGCAAUUUCAUACAUUAACAUGGCUUUAUCCCACUUGUAUAUACCCAUUUCUAUUAAUAACUCCUUUAACCCCAAUUUCGGUAUAGAAUUAAAGCCCAGAUCACAAAGAAUCUCCUAAGGAGUAUGUUUUAAGUAGCUCCAGGAAGAUAUGCUUCCCAGUUAUUUCAGUUGUUGAGAAGUUAUUCUUUUGUCCUAAGAACACCCUUUCCUAAAAGUCUUCUUUUAAAAUGUAAAUAAUCCUAAAGUUAUUUACAUUUUAAGGUUAUUUAAGAGUGGCAAUCUGAUGUUAAGAACAUUCUGCUUCUUCCUCUCUUAACUCUAGAUCUCUCGCCCAGACUACUGCACCCACUGUUCUAACCAGACUUCCUGCCUCCAGUUCCUCCACUUUCUAAACUAUCUUCUACUAUGUCACUCAUUCUCUUUCUAAAUCUCAGAUUAGGUGUAAUAUUCACAUGCUAAAACCCAUUGCCUAGAGCAAAUUUUCUUUCAAAUUGAGGUCACAAUCCUCUUGGCAGAUCAUAACGGACACAGAAUAGAAUGAAUGGGAAUAGAAAAUAUCAGUGUUUCACAUAUUGAAAGAGUAAAUGUUUCAUAAAUAUCAGUGUUUCACAAAUUGAAAGGGUAAAUGUUUCACACAUACCAGCAUUUUACAAAUUGAAA